rnacentral:rRNA from 1 species
UACGAAGGGGGCUAGCGUUGUUCGGAAUUACUGGGCGUAAAGCGCACGUAGGCGGACAUUUAAGUCAGGGGUGAAAUCCCGGGGCUCAACCCCGGAACUGCCUUUGAUACUGGGUGUCUCGAGUAUGGAAGAGGUAAGUGGAAUUCCGAGUGUAGAGGUGAAAUUCGUAGAUAUUCGGAGGAACACCAGUGGCGAAGGCGGCUUACUGGUCCAUUACUGACGCUGAGGUGCGAAAGCGUGGGGAGCAAACAGG